ACAAGGAUUUUCUUAGUAGCGGCGAGCGAAAAGAAAACAGUUCAGCACUAAGUCACAUUGCUGUAAUGGUAAUUGUGAGAUGCAGUGUAUGGAAUAUCUUAAUUCUAGUAUGAGAAAUUAAUGAUUUAAGUCCUUCUUAAAUGAGGCCAUUUACCCAUAGAGGGUGCCAGGCCCGUAUAACAUUAAUGAUUACUAGAAGAUAUUUCCAAAGAGUCGUGUUGCUUGAUAGUGCAGCACUAAGUGGGUGGUAAACUCCAUCUAAAACUAAAUAUAACCAUGAGACCGAUAGUAAACAAGUACCGUGAGGGAAAGUUGAAAAGAACUCUGAAUAGAGAGUUAAAUAGUACGUGAAACUGCUUAGAGAUUAAGCCCGAUGAACCUGAAUAUCCAUUAUGAAGAAUUCAUCAUUAUGAUAAUUAUAUACAAUAUAUUGUUAUAAUAGUGUGCAUUUUCUUCAUAUAAGGACAUUGUAAUCUAUUAAUAUAACAUUUAUUUAUGAUAAGAUCAAAUGCUUAUAGUUUAUUUGAUUUAAUUUGCUUCGGCUUAUUAACAUUAAAUAAAUGCUAUUUGAUUUCAUAAAGUGUUGAUAGAUAUAAUCAUAUGUAUAAUGCAUAAAUUUCUUUAAUGAAAUUUUAUAAAUUAAAUUUUAUUGGCAUUUAUACGAUUAACAAUGCGAAAGAUUCAGGAUACCUUCGGGACCCGUCUUGAAACACGGACCAAGGAGUCUAACAUAUGUGCAAGCUUUUGGGUGUUGACACAAUUAACUGGAAACCCUUAAGCAUAAUUAACUUAACUUUAUAUUUAAAUGGGAUUAAUUUUUAAUCAAAUUAUUUUGAUAUAUUAAUUCAAUCCCAGGGCGUUCUAUACAGUUAUGUAUAAUAAUAUUUUUUAAAUAUUAUUUAAUACCUCUAACUAGAGCGUACCUUGAGCAUAUAUGCUGUGACCCGAAAGAUGGUGAACUAUACUUGAUCAGGUUGAAGUCAGGGGAAACCCUGAUGGAAGACCGAAACAGUUCUGACGUGCAAAUCGAUUGUCAGAAUUGAGUAUAGGGGCGAAAGACCAAUCGAACCAUCUAGUAGCUGGUUCC
rnacentral:rRNA from 1 species